rnacentral:hammerhead_ribozyme from 1 species
UGCUGAGGAGUCCCAUACCAGGACGAAACGGCCGUCCAGUGC